rnacentral:rRNA from 1 species
GACGAACGCUGGCGGCGUGCUUAACACAUGCAAGUCGAGCGAACAGACGAGGAGCUUGUUCCUCUGACGUUUGCGGCGGACGGGUGAGUAACACGUGGAUAAUCCACCUAUCAGACUGGGAUCAUCUCGGGAAACCGGAGCUAACACCGGAUAAUAUAUUGAACCGUAUGGUUCAAUAGUGAAAGACGGCUUUGCUGUCACUUAUCGAUGCAUCUGCGCCGCAUUAGCUAGUUGGUAGGGUAACGGCUUAUCAAGGCAACGAUGCGUAGCCGACCUGAGAGAGUGAUCGGCCACACUAGAGCUGGGACGCGGACCAGGCGCCUGCGAGAGGCAGCAGUAGGGAAUCUUCCGCAGUGGGCGAAAGCCUGGCGGAACGGCGCCGCGUGAGUGGUGGAGAUCUUCGGAUCGUGAAGCUCUGUUAUUAGGGGAGAACAGAUGUGUAAGUAGCUGUACACGUCUUGACGGUACCUGGUCAAGAAGCCACGGCUAACUACGUG